CCAAAAGAAGGCCCUUCAUGAUUUAUAGCCAAGAAAUUUUUCCCUCCUUCGGUCGGUUUCUUGUUUCUUUCUUUUUAAAGAAUACUUGGCUGGGUGAUUCUUGAGGGCACUUCAAGGGAGGCGAAGAAGGUGCGAUGAGGCCAUGGAGAAUAAUCAAAAUCAUGUUUCACCAUGGAUUAGGAAGUCUCGGCUCUCAGUCUGGAAACAUCACAUUCCAUUAAUGGGAAAAAUCGAAGCAAGUUCUCAUUCAUGCAGAUACGCAGAAAUGUAAAGCCGAGUUUUUUCCCCUGAGAAAGAAGACAGGCAUAACCCAUCACAUUUCUGCAGCUGAGUUAUCAGAGACAUUGGCUAAACAUAUUUAAAUAUCAUAUAAAUAGCAGCCGACCAAGGGAAUCAGCUGAGAUUGUCUUUGCUGACAGAAGUGGGCAUUCAAUUCCAAGAGUGACGUAUCUUUGCUCUUAAUUACCAAAAAAACAGCUGAUUUUGAAUAGCUUUUGCUUCAAAAACUAAAACCUCUCAUGUUUUGAUGAAUUUAAAUGAAUUAAUUUAUUGUGUUUAAAGACUGCUCCACGUGAUAUUUGAUGGUCUUUCAGAUUAUGUUGUUCAAAUUGUAUAGAUACUUUUCCAA